AGUAACUCCUUUUUCUGGCUAUUGUGCGACGGUCAAAAUGGUGGGCCACAAAAAAUUUGACGAACCAUCAAGAGGACCAUCAAGUCGAGGAAGAAUGUCCCAUUUCUGGGCCCCCAGUGACGGACGAUCUGGUGGACCGUCAGUUUCCUAACGGAUCGUCACUUCGACCAUUACAUCGAGGUAGAAUGUCCCAGUUUUGGCACUCGAGUGACGGACGAUCUGGUGGACCGUCAAUUCCUCUGACGGACCAUCAGUUUGACCGUCACAGGCCCCGAUCAAUAAUUUUCAACUAUUUUAAAAGAGCAUUUUGGUCUUUUACGCCUAUUUUGGUCUUGUAUAUAUAUAUCCAAGUAGAGAAGAGAAGUUUAUUUUUUUCUCCUUUCUCUUCCAUAAUCCUCUAGAAACUAGGGUUUCUUCCAAAAUCUUAAAUCAAAUCAUCUCCAAGGAAUUCAAGAAUCUUUCAAAUAUUUCACCAAGUUGUUCAAGAAUUAAGUUCUUCAUGCCAAAGGCAUAAAAAAACUUAGCUCAAAAGUGCGAGAAAGAAGUUCCAAUCAAGUCUCUUCAUCUCAAAUUCAUAAUCUAAGGUAUGUAGGGCUUGAACAAGAAUAUCCUUUCAUUCUUGUGCCCAAAGAAUUGAUUUUUACUAUUGGAAUUUCAUGAUUUUGCAAGCAGGUUUAUAUUCAAAUUACUUUAUCAUUGAUUUAUGAGAAUUGAGCUAUUCAAGAUUGAUAUACAUGACUAUUUUGAUGUUUUAUUUCUUAAAUUGAGAAUUUAUGCUGUGAAUUAUAUAUUGCAACUAUGAAUUGACGAUUUCCAGGAGAUAGAUGAUAAGAGUAAUGAUUUUAAGAUUUUCCAUGAGAAGUUGAUUAUUAAUAUAUAUAUAUAUCGAUAUUGAGCUUGAGAGUCAAGAAUGAGUCCUAUGAUGUUUCCUUGAAACUUUUGAUAUUUGAAAUGAUUUGAUAAGCAAGCGUACUUGAUGUUGAGAAAGAUUGUUUUGAUUUUGAGUUGAGUUAGGAAUCCACAGUUGUAUAUGAUUUAUAGAUGAGAUAUAUUUAUGUUUUGGUCUUUAUGAUAGACCCAUGAUUUGAUAUUGAUUAAGGUGGAUCUCCUAACGCAUUUUGAGCUGAGUCUAGGAGGAGUAUUUAGUACCGAGCAAGAAAUAUGGUAUUUUUUCAAAACUACGUGCCACCGUAAGAUUGAUAUUGAUAAUUGUGGGCCAGAGGUUGAGUAUAAGCUUGUGAUCACGAAGUUGAGGUUGUACUCCCUGGCAAAAGUACGACGCUCCCGCGAAUGUGGGGUUCUUUCCUUAGGAGGGCAAAACGUUGGACUCCAUGCGGCUCAUAUGGUUUAUGUCGGUUAUAAGAAACUCCCAAGUCCAUAAUAGUCUAAGUUUCAUUAGUUACCGAGUCACUCUAAGUCAUGAGUCAAAGAGUUUGAGUUGAGACCAAUGAUUUAUGAGAUUUAUGAAGCAUGUGUUACUAUUGAUGAUUUAUGGAAAUUACGUUUCAAGUAAUUCAAGCGAAGAGAGCCAUUAUUGUCAACAUGCAUGAUUUUCUUACACAUUUAUGAUAUUAUUGAAAAAUAUUGCAUACACCCCCACAUACUCAGUACAUUCCCAUGUACUAAUUCCCAUACUCUUCUGUGUUCUAUAUUUCCUCGUGAUGCAGGUUCAGGUGCUUAGUCUCAG
rnacentral:lncRNA from 1 species